GAUGAACGCUGGCGGCGUGCCUAAUACAUGCAAGUCGAGCGAACAGAUAAGGAGCUUGUUCCUUUGAGGUUAGCGGCGGACGGGUGAGUAACACGUGGGUAACCUACCUAUAAGACGGGGAUAACAUCGGGAAACGAGAGCUAAUACCGGAUAAAAAUUGGAACCGCAUGUUUCAAAAGUGAAAGAUGGAUUUGCUACAACAUAUAGAGGGACCCGCUUCUAAUAGGUUAGUUGGUAGGGAAACGCCAUACCAGGGCAUCGUACCUAAGCGGCCCUGAGAGGGUGACGGCCCACACUGGACCUGAGACCCGGCCCAGACUCCAACGGGAGGCACCAUUGGGGAAUUUUGCCAAAUGGGCGAAAGCCUGACGGAGCACCGCCGCGUGGGUGAUGAAGGUUUUCGGCUCGUAAAACCCUUUUGUUGGGAAAGAACAUAUGUGUAAGUAAAUGUGCAUGUCUUGACGGUACCUAAACAGAAAGCCACGGCUAACUACGUG
rnacentral:rRNA from 1 species